UGCAGCCCAGUCAAAUUCGGUCCCUGUCCCUCAGUGUCGGGGACCGGCCACCGGCUGCCACAGUGACCCCGUGCUCGGCGUGUCCCGUGUCCCCUCCCGUGGGACCCGGGGGCCAGAUCCCCACGGACACGU